rnacentral:rRNA from 1 species
UGGGGAAUCUUGCGCAAUGGGCGAAAGCCUGACGCAGCGACGCCGCGUGCGGGAGGAAGCUCUUCGGGGUGUAAACCGCUGUCAGGGGGGAAGAAAGGUCACGCGAGGAAAUGCGAGUGAUUUGACGGUACCUCCAGAGGAAGCACCGGCUAACUCUGUGCCAGCAGCCGCGGUAAUACAGAGGGUGCGAGCGUUGUUCGGAAUUACUGGGCGUAAAGCGCGCGCAGGCGGCUUUCUAAGUCUCGUGGUCAAAUGCCGGGGCUCAACCCCGAGCGUGCCAGGGAUACUGGGAGGCUGGAGACAGGUAGAGGCAAGCGGAAUUCCGGGUGUAGCGGUGGAAUGCGUAGAGAUCCGGAAGAACACCGGAGGCGAAGGCGGCUUGCUGGACCUGGUCUGACGCUGAGGCGCGAAAGCGUGGGGAGCGAACAG